rnacentral:rRNA from 1 species
CAGUAGCCGCGGUAAUACGUAGGUGGCAAGCGUUGUCCGGAAUUAUUGGGCGUAAAGGGCUCGCAGGCGGUUUCUUAAGUCUGAUGUGAAAGCCCCCGGCUCAACCGGGGGGGGUCAUUGGAAACUGGGAAACUUGAGUGCAGAAGAGGAAAGUGGAAUUCCAUGUGUAGCGGUGAAAUGCGCAGAGAUAUGGAGGAACACCAGUGGCGAAGGCGACUCUCUGGUCUGUAACUGACGCUGAUGUGCGAAAGCGUGGGGAUCAAACAGGAUUAGAUACCCCGGUAGUCCCUGUCUCUUAUAA